AGCUCUCCGAGUGGUGGGGAUGUUUAUUGGGCCUAAAGCAUUCGUAGCCGGUUAGGCAAGUCCUCUGUUAAAUCCAACGAUUCAAUCGUUUGACUGCGGAGGAUACUGUCUGACUUGGGGGCGGAAGAGGCCGACGGUACUCUUGGGGUAGGGGUGAAAUCCUAUAAUCCCAGGAAGACCACCAGUGGCGAAGGCUGUCGGCUAGAACGCGCCCGACGGUGAGGGAUGAAAGCUAGGGGAGCGAACCGGAUUAGAUACCCGAGUAGUCC
rnacentral:rRNA from 1 species